rnacentral:rRNA from 1 species
UACGGAGGGUGCAAGCGUUGUCCGGAUUUAUUGGGUUUAAAGGGUGCGUAGGCGGCUUUUUUAAGUCAGUGGUGAAAUACAGCAGCUCAACUGUUGAGGUGCCAUUGAUACUGAGAGGCUUGAGUACAGAUGAGGUAGGCGGAAUUUAUGGUGUAGCGGUGAAAUGCAUAGAUACCAUAAAGAACACCGAUUGCGAAGGCAGCUUACUAAGCUGUAACUGACGCUGAGGCACGAAAGCGUGGGGAGCGAACAGG